UACGGAGGGGACUAGCGUUGUUCGGAAUUACUGGGCGUAAAGCGCGCGUAGGCGGAUCUGUAAGUCAGGGGUGAAAUCCCGGGGCUCAACCUCGGAACUGCCUUUGAUACUGCAAAUCUCGAGUCCGGAAGAGGUGAGUGGAAUUCCUAGUGUAGAGGUGAAAUUCGUAGAUAUUAGGAAGAACACCAGUGGCGAAGGCGGCUCACUGGUCCGGUACUGACGCUGAGGUGCGAAAGCGUGGGGAGCAAACAGG
rnacentral:rRNA from 1 species